rnacentral:rRNA from 1 species
UCGGGAAUAUUGCGCAAUGGAGGAAACUCUGACGCAGUGACGCCGCGUGCAGGAAGAAGGUUUUCGGAUUGUAAACUGCUUUAGACAGGGAAGAAACAAGACAGUACCUGUAGAAUAAGCUCCGGCUAACUACGUGCCAGCAGCCGCGGUAAUACGUAGGGAGCAAGCGUUAUCCGGAUUUAUUGGGUGUAAAGGGUGCGUAGACGGGAAGACAAGUUAGUUGUGAAAUCCCUCGGCUCAACUGAGGAACUGCAACUAAAACUAUCUUUCUUGAGUGCUGGAGAGGAAAGUGGAAUUCCUAGUGUAGCGGUGAAAUGCGUAGAUAUUAGGAGGAACACCAGUGGCGAAGGCGACUUUCUGGACAGUAACUGACGUUGAGGCACGAAAGUGUGGGGAGCAAACA